UACAGAGGGGGCAAGCGUUGUUCGGAAUUAUUGGGCGUAAAGAGCUCGUAGGCGGUUUGUUGCGUCGGCUGUGAAAUCCCGAGGCUCAACCUCGGGUCUGCAGUCGAUACGAGCAAACUAGAGUGUUGCAGGGGAGACUGGAAUUCCUGGUGUAGCGGUGAAAUGACGCAGAUAUCAGGAGGAACACCGGUGGCGAAGGCGGGGUCUCUGGGCAACAACUGACGCUGGAGGAGCGAAAGCGUGGGGGAGC
rnacentral:rRNA from 1 species